GAUGAACGCUGGCGGCGUGCCUAACACAUGCAAGUCGAACGGGAACCCUUGGAUUCGUCUGGGGGGGAGAGUGGCGAACGGGUGAGUAACACGUAGGUGACCUGCCCCGAAGAGGGGGAUAACCACUGGAAACGGUGGCUAAUACCCCAUGUGAUCUGCUUCGGCAGAUUAAAGCUCCGGCGCUUUGGGAGGGGCCUGCGGCCCAUCAGGUAGUUGGUAGGGUAAUGGCCUACCAAGCCUAUGACGGGUAGGGGGCGUGAGAGCGUGAUCCCCCACACUGGCACUGAGAUACGGGCCAGACUCCUACGGGAGGCAGCAGUGAGGAAUAUUGCCCAAUGGACGCAAGUCUGAGGCAGCAACGCCGCGUGGGCGACGAAGGCCUUCGGGUUGUAAAGCCCUUUUCUGGGGGACGAGAAAGGACGGUACCUCAGGAAUAAGUCACGGCUAACUACGUGCCAGCCGCCGCCGUAACAC
rnacentral:rRNA from 1 species